AUGCAACUUUUCAGGGAAGUUAGGAACCAAUAUAGACAAGCAGUUAGGAAAGCUAAGGCUAGCUUUUUCAAGCAGAAAUGUGCAUCCUGUAGCACAAACUCCAAAAAGUUCUGGGACACUGUAAAAUGGGGGUGGGGGUGCCAAAUGGGGGUGCCACAGUGUUCAAUUCUCGGGCCGACUCUCUUCUCUGUAUACAUCAAUGAUGUCGCUCUUGCUGCUGGUGAUUCUCUGAUCCACCUCUAUGCAGACACCAUUCUGUAUACCUCUGGCCCCUCUUUGGACACUAUGUUAACUAACCUCCAGACGAGCUUCAAUGCCAUACAACUCUCCUUCCGUGGCCUCCAACUGCUCUUAAUUGCAAGUAAAACUAAAUGCAUGCUCCUCAACCGAUCGCUGCCCGCACCUGCCUGCCCGUCCAGCAUCACUACUCUGGACAGUUCUGACUUAGAAUAUGUGGACAACUACAAAUACCUGGGUGUCUGGUUAGACUGUAAACUCUCCUUCCAGACUCACAUCAAACAUCUCCAAUCCAAAAUUAAACCUAGAAUUGGCUUCCUAUUUCGCAACAAAGCAUCCUUCACUCAUGCUGCCAAACAUACCCUCGUAAAACUGACUAUCCUACCGAUCCUUGACUUCGGCGAUGUCAUUUACAAAAUAGCCUCCAACACUCUACUCAACAAAUUGGAUGCAGUCUAUCACAGUGCCAUCCGUUUUGUCACCAAAGCCCCAUAUACUACCCACCACUGCGACCUGUACGCUCUCGUUGGCUGGCCCUCGCUUCAUACUCGUCGCCAAACCCACUGGCUCCAGGUCAUCUACAAGACUCUGCUAGGUAAAGUCCCGCCUUAUCUCAGCUCACUGAUCACCAUAGCAGCAUUCACCCGUAGCACGCGCUCCAGCAGGUAUAUCUCACUGGUCACCCCCAAAGCCAUUUUUUCCUUUGGCCGCCUUUCCUUCCAGUUCUCUGCUGCCAAUGACUGGAACGAACUUCAAAAAUCACUGAAGCAGGAGACUCAUAUCUCCGUCACUAGCUUUAAGCACCAGCUGUCAGAGCAGCUCAUAGAUCACUGCACCUGUACAUAG
rnacentral:lncRNA from 8 species